AUCUAACUGACGAGUCCCAAACAGAACGAAACAUGGGUCCUGGAU
rnacentral:hammerhead_ribozyme from 1 species